CGGGGUGUAGCUCAGCCUGGUAGAGCACCACUUUCGGGAAGUGGGGGCCGGAGGUUCGAAUCCUCUCACCCCGACCA
rnacentral:tRNA from 1 species